ACUACGGGAGGCAGCAGUGAGGAAUAUUGGUCAAUGGGCGCGAGCCUGAACCAGCCAAGUCGCGUGAGGGAGGACGGCCCUACGGGUUGUAAACCUCUUUUGCCGGGGAGCAACGCGCGCCACGUGUGGCGUCACUGAGAGUACCCGGAGAAAAAGCAUCGGCUAACUCCGUGCCAGCAGCCGCGGUAAUACGGAGGAUGCGAGCGUUAUCCGGAUUUAUUGGGUUUAAAGGGUGCGUAGGCGGAUCGUUAAGUCAGCGGUUAAAUGGAGGGGCUCAACCCCUUCCCGCCGUUGAAACUGGCGGGCUGGAGUGGGAGAGAAGUACGCGGAAGGCGUGGUGGAGCGGUGAAAUGCAUAGAUAUCACGCAGAACCCCGAUUGCGAAGGCAGCAUGCCGGCUUCAGACUGACGCUGAAGCACGAAAGCGUGGGGAUCGAACAGGAUUAGAUACCCGAGUAGUC
rnacentral:rRNA from 1 species